rnacentral:tRNA from 1 species
GCUAUAGAUCAGUGGUACAGCAUCUGCUUAAGUUGCAGAAGGCUCCCAGGGUUCAAACCCCAGCAUCUCCA